rnacentral:rRNA from 1 species
UACAGAGGGGGCAAGCGUUAUUCGGAAUUAUUGGGCGUAAAGGGCGCGUAGGCGAUCUGAUAAGUCUCGUGUGAAAUCCCAGUGCUUAACGCUGGAAUGGCACGGGAAACUGUUGGAUUUGAGUUCCGGAGAGGAAGGCAGAAUUCCCGGUGUAGCGGUGAAAUGCGUAGAUAUCGGGAGGAAUACCAGUGGCGAAGGCGGCCUUCUGGACGGAUACUGACGCUGAGGCGCGAAAGCCAGGGGAGCGAACGGG